rnacentral:rRNA from 1 species
CCAGACUCCUACGGGAGGCAGCAGUGGGGAAUAUUGCACAAUGGGGGAAACCCUGAUGCAGCAACGCCGCGUGAGUGAAGAAGUAUUUCGGUAUGUAAAGCUCUAUCAGCAGGGAAGAAAAUGACAGUACCUGACUAAGAAGCCCCGGCUAACUACGUGCCAGCAGCCGCGGUAAUACGUAGGGGGCAAGCGUUAUCCGGAUUUACUGGGUGUAAAGGGAGCGUAGACGGCUGCGCAAGUCAGAAGUGAAAGCCCGGGGCUCAACCGCGGGACUGCUUUUGAAACUGUGUAGCUAGAGUGCAGGAGAGGUAAGUGGAAUUCCUAGUGUAGCGGUGAAAUGCGUAGAUAUUAGGAGGAACACCAGUGGCGAAGGCGGCCUGCUGGACUGCAACUGACGUUGAGGCUCGAAGGCGUGGGGAGCAAACAGGAUUAGAUACCCUAGUA